rnacentral:misc_RNA from 1 species
GUCAUAUUGUCAGAUGACAUCGUUUUUAAUCGAAUUUUACUGAUAUUUUGUGUAACAUAAUUUUUAUAUGUCAUCUUGUUAUUUUCACGCAUUGUGUAUGAUUUGACCAUUGAAUAUAUUUAAAGAUACAAGUUGUUGCAAUAUUAUUGAUAACUGUACCUUGGAAAGCUUUCUUUGCACAAAACAUGUCUUGGAUUGAUUUCACCUAUCAAUCUGGAAAAUAGAUGUCUGUUAAUUUAAUUUCUGUAUGAUAACUUUCUGUUCAUGUAAUUCGUAAGUGAGAUAUAUAUCAGAUGGAUUGUACAUGCAUAGUAUAUAACUUAACCAACAGAAUACUGAAACAAUAAAGGACAGAAUAAG